UAGGCGCUGCCACCGGGUAGCAAUGCUGAUAGGGCAUUCGUUUGCACAUCGUUAGGUCUUUGAAGAUGUGCAGGACGGAUGCUUGUUUUUU
rnacentral:ncRNA from 1 species